GCUAGAUGGAUAGCUCAGUCGGUAGACCAUGAGACUUUUAAUCUCAGGGAUGUGUGUUCAAGCCCCACUUUGGGCA